UGCAAAUAGAGACACAAAAGGAACAAAUACAAAUGCAGAACAAUAAAAUAGAAGAUCUUGAAGAGGGUAAGAAGAAGCAAGGGGAGAUAAUGGCUGAUGUUGUCAACUUUUUGAGGACCAAAGGAUUCACUGGAGACUUUGGAAGUGGAGGGAACUCAUCCACAAGUGGACAUACUUCUUGAUUGGAUUGGGGUGGCAUUUUUGACGUGCAACAAUGAUGUAAUUUGUUUGAAUGUUCAUUUUUGUUUGAUAAGGAUACACAUACUUUUUGGAGUUACACUAGUUAUUGUUGGAUUUUUGGUGGAAUUGAACAAGUUAUAACUUUUGGAUAUUUUGUGGAUAUUUCACUAUUUUAUUAUAUCAGGAUGAAAUUAUUUGUAAUGAUGAAUGUAUAUUUUCAUUUUGUUAA